rnacentral:rRNA from 1 species
UACAGAGGGUGCAAGCGUUAAUCGGAAUUACUGGGCGUAAAGCGUGCGCAGGCGGUUUUGUAAGUCAGAUGUGAAAUCCCCGGGCUUAACCUGGGAACUGCGUUUGAAACUACAAGGCUAGAGUGUGGCAGAGGGGGGGUGGAAUUCCACGUGUAGCAGUGAAAUGCGUAGAGAUGUGGAGGAACACCGAUGGCGAAGGCAGCCCCCUGGGUUAACACUGACGCUCAGGCACGAAAGCGUGGGGAGCAAACAGG